rnacentral:piRNA from 1 species
UGGUGGCAUAUCCAAAUCAGUAAGGAAGGACC